GCGGUGGUGAUGCGCGCCUUUAAGUCCAGCAGCACUCGGGAGGCAGAGGCAAGCAAAUCUCUGUGAGUGCGAGGCCAGCCUGAUCUACAGAGUGAGUUCCAGAACUGGCUCCAUAGCUACUGAGAAAUCCUGUCUCGAAAAACCAAGGGGAAAAAAAAAGACUCGCCCCUCUGGCCUAUAGGGUCUUACGCAGUCCUGCAAUUCAAGAAAUCUACUUACCUCUGCCUCACAAGUGCUAGAAUUAAAGGCGUGCACCACCACAAUAAAGGAUUUAAAAAGCAACGUCUCUCCAGAUUCAGCGGGAAUGAAGGACUUUGUUGCAGCCAGCGAAUAAAGAUCAUACUGACUCUCCUAAAGUUCAUUGCUUUCCAGGUGUUUCACCUCACGUCUGCCGGUCUGUGCAUCACUUGCAUGUCCUGCACCUGGAGGAGGUCUGAAGAGAGUGUUUGGUUCUGGAUUUGGAAUUACAAAAGGAUGUGAACUACUAUUUGUGUACUAGGAAUCGAACCCAUGUCCUUUGGAAGACCAGCCAGUGCUAUGCACUUAUUCUUCUAGCCCUGUUCCUGUUUUUUUUUUUUUUUUUUUUUUUUUUUAGACUAGAGUUUAUUCUGCUAUGUCUCUGAGGCUGGACUUGAACAGCUGAUCUUCCUGCUACUGUUUCCUUAGAGCUGAGAUUACAAGGGUGCCACCAUGCUGUUUUAGACCAUGGUAAGGACCGCAUCUAGGGCUUGGUGUAUGCUAGACAAGCACUUUAAGCAACUGAGAUGUCUACGUACCCUAGCACUGCAGGCUUCCCUUUUCUUAAGAUGUCAAACGUUUAUAUAAACUGCUUUUUAAUGCAUAAUGGAUAAAAUACUUCUUUUCCAACAGAAACUGGGUGUGGGGAUAUAAUGGAUAGCACAGAGCUCGUGGUGCCAUGAGAUUUGCUCACUGGGAUCAAAGGAUGCUUCUCAUUCCUUCACUUUCUCCUCCCCUACUCCCAAUCCUUGAAAACAAAAUCCAACGUGUGAGGUUCUCCUGUGUGAAACAUCAAGGAGGGGCAGCAGUCCAUCAGAGAAGAUCUCAGAACCUUGAAAAGUUUUAUCUCCUUUUUUCUUAUUUGGAAACAGCAGUGUGUAACUGCAUUUUCCCACUGCGCACGGCAACCCCCCACCGCCCCUCCCCCAAGUUCAAGCCACAUUUUCUGUUUACGUUUGGAAC